UACAGAGGUCUCAAGCGUUGUUCGGAUUCAUUGGGCGUAAAGGGUGCGUAGGUGGCGCCAUAAGUCAGGUGUGAAAUCUCGGGGCUCAACCCCGAAACUGCACUUGAUACUGUGGUGCUCGAGUACUGGAGAGGAGAUUGGAAUUUACGGUGUAGCAGUGAAAUGCGUAGAUAUCGGGAGGAACACCAGUGGCGAAGGCGGAACUCUGGGCCGGAACUGACGCUGAGGAGCGAAAGCGUGGGGAGCGAACAGG
rnacentral:rRNA from 1 species